rnacentral:rRNA from 1 species
UACGGAAGGCAGCAGUGGGGAAUAUUGCACAAUGGGCGAAAGCCUGAUGCAGCUAUGCCGCGUGUAUGAAGAAGGCCUUAGGGUUGUAAAGUACUUUCAUCGGGGAGGAAAAAACAAAACUAAUAAUUUUAUUUCUUGACGUUACCCGAAAAAGAAGCACCGGCUAACUCCGUGCCAGCAGCCGCGGUAAUACGGAGGGUGCUAGCGUUAAUCAGAAUUACUGGGCGUAAAGAGCACGUAGGUGGUUUUUUAAGUCAGAUGUGAAAUCCCUGGGCUUAACCUAGGAACUGCAUUUUGAAACUGAAAUACUAGAAGUAUCGUAGAGGGAGGUAGAAUUCUAGGUGUAGCGGUGAAAUGCGUAGAUAUCUGGAGGAAUACCUGUGGCGAAAGCGGCCUCCUAAACGAAUACUGACACUGAGGUGCGAAAAGCGUGGGGAGCAAAACAGGGAUUAGAUACC